AGAAACAAGCUAUGUAUGAACUACAGAUUAAGUGUGGACAAUGCAUACAUGUCUUUCUGAAGAACAACAACAGUGACCUGGAAAAUGCUCAGAUUGAAGAAGUGAAGAAGAUUUUAAUGGAGUGAGAACACACAGCAAGCACACAAGGAUAAAACAUUUAUGAGUUGUUUGAAAUAAUGAUUUAAAUGGUGUUGGUGUUGAAAAUGUCUUUUCAAAUCUGGUAUGAACAGAUUCUACUUAUCCUUUACCUCUUUGUAGUGGGGCCAAACUAGUGAUUGCUUAAAAUUAAUCUAUUCAUUCAUUCAUUAAGUAAUUAAAAUAUAUUAUAUAUUUAUGUGAUUUAGACUUAGUAGUGUACUAGCCUACAUGCAGGUUUUAUAUCAGUUAGUUCAUUUGUCAAGCCCAAGGUGAGGGAAAUAGAAGAUUACAUUGUGGCCUACAAAAUGUCUACAAAAAAGUAAAAUUUUAUUGUUCCAUACAAAUCAUUCAUUCAUUUAUUUAUUUGUUUAUUUGUUUGAGCCAGGUACAACAAAAUUCAUAAACAGUAACAAAAAUAGUGAUUUGUACAUGAACAUAUUUGGGACGUGGUUCUCAAAAGGAGGAGGAUGAAGUUUAAAAAUCUUAGAGUCCUACGACAAUUGUUUAACAUAAUCACGUGGUUCACUUUUUUUAAUAUAUAUAUCACCUUUGGGGUGCUUACCUGUCAUUUGCAGAAAUAUACACACAUAUAUACAAAAACAUAUCCACACAUACAUACAUACAUAUACGCAUCAUAUAUAUCCAGUACAUAUACUCAAUAUAAAUGUUCAUACACAUAUACAUCACACACAUAUACACACAUGCAGAAACAUAUUUUGUUUGUGGUUGUACAAACUAAUAAUACAGUAAUGUUAUCGUAGGCACAAAGUUUAUUGUUUAUGAUCGUAUAAAAUAAACAGUAAUGAGAAUGAAA